rnacentral:tRNA from 1 species
ACGGGAGUAGCUCAGUUUGGUAGAGCACCGGUCUCCAAAACCGGGUGUCGGGAGUUCGAGUCUCUCCUUCCGUGC